rnacentral:rRNA from 1 species
AUGGCCAUUUCUCUGCUGCCUUACACCACCUCGGCUCUGCUUGCCAUCGUCAUCGCCGUCGCCAUCGCUAUCGCCCCUGCAGUUGUUCGAUCGGACCAAGAGCCUGGGCCCAGCAUUGAAGCCAUCAACGCCACAUGCGCGACUGCUACGUACAAAUUUGAGUGCACCCAUCUGCUACUAAACAACCUGGAUGUCAGGACGCCUCAAGUGAAGGAUGUGAUCGCAAUGUCAGUCCAAGUCGUCGCCAAGAAGGCGGCGGAGGCGGCCGCAUUCGCCAAGGCCAUCAAGAAACCCUCCAAGUGCGUCACCGACUGCCUCGAUGACCUCGCCGUACUAUCCAAGCACAUCAAGACGCUCCUGGCGACGCUCGAAACCGCCAACGACGCGGGCUUCUUUGAGCAAUUUGACACAAAG